GCAAUGGUGGUUCAGUGGUAGAAUUCUCACCUUCCAUGCAGAAGACCCAGGUUCCAUUUCUGGCAAAUGCA
rnacentral:tRNA from 1 species